rnacentral:rRNA from 1 species
UACGGGGGGAGCAAGCGUUGUUCGGAUUUACUGGGCGUAAAGGGCGCGUAGGCGGCGUGACAAGUCACUUGUGAAAUCUCCGGGCUUAACUCGGAACGGUCAAGUGAUACUGUCGUGCUAGAGUACAGAAGGGGCAACUGGAAUUCUCGGUGUAGCGGUGAAAUGCGUAGAUAUCGAGAGGAACACCUGCGGCGAAGGCGGGUUGCUGGGCUGAUACUGACGCUGAGGCGCGAAAGCUAGGGGAGCAAACGGGG